GACGAACGCUGGCGGCGUGCUUAACACAUGCAAGUCGAACGCUGAAGCUCAGCUUUUGUUGGGUGGAUGAGUGGCGAACGGGUGAGUAACACGUGAGUAACCUGCCUCCUUCUUUGGGAUAACGCCCGGAAACGGGUGCUAAUACUGGAUAUUCACUGGUCUUCGCAUGGGGGUUGGUGGAAAGGGUUUUUCUGGUGGGGGAUGGGCUCGCGGCCUAUCAGCUUGUUGGUGGGGUGAUGGCCUACCAAGGCUUUGACGGGUAGCCGGCCCGAGAGGGUGACCGGUCACAUUGGGACUGAGAUAGGGCCCAGACUCCGACGGGAGGCAGCAGUGGGGAAUAUUGGGCAAUGGGCGCAAGCCUGAUGCAGCGACGCCGCGUGAGGGAUGGAGGCCUUCGGGUUGUGAACCUCUUUCGCUCAUGGUCAAGCCGCAACAAUGGUUGUGGUGAGGGUAGUGGGUAAAGAAGCGCCGGCUAACUACGUG
rnacentral:rRNA from 1 species